rnacentral:rRNA from 1 species
GACGAACGCUGGCGGCGUGCCUAAUACAUGCAAGUAGAACGCAGUUGCGAACGGGUGAGUAACGCGUAGGUAACUGCCUCAUAGCGGGGGAUAACUAUUGGAAACGAUAGCUAAUACCGCAUACUGUGAGAUGGACCUUCGUUUUAUUAGCUAGUUGGUGAGGUAAAGGCUCACCAAGGCGACGAUACAUAGACGUCCUGAGAGGGUGGUCUGCCACACUGAGACUGAGACACGGCCCAGACUCCUACUGGAGGCAGCAGUAGGGAAUCUUCGGCGAUGGAAGAAAGUCUGAACGAUCAACGCCGCGUGAGAGAAGGAGUUUUUCGGAUCGUAAAGCUCUGUUGUUAGAGAAGCGGUAACUAAACAGAAAAGGACGGCUAACUACGUGCUAGCAGCCGCGGUAAUUC